GAUGAACGCUGGCGGCGUGCUUAACACAUGCAAGUCGAACGAUGAAGCCCAGCUUGCUGGGUGGAUUAGUGGCGAACGGGUGAGUAACACGUGAGCAACCUGCCCCUGACUCUGGGUUAAGCGCUGGAAACGGCGUCUAAUACUGGAUAUGUCCCGUCACCGCAUGGUGUGCGGGUGGAAAGAUUUUUCGGUUGGGGAUGGGCUCGCGGCCUAUCAGCUUGUUGGUGAGGUAAUGGCUCACCAAGGCGUCGACGGGUAGCCGGCCUGAGAGGGUGACCGGCCACACUGGGACUGAGACACGGCCCAGACUCCUACGGGAGGCAGCAGUGGGGAAUAUUGCACAAUGGGCGGAAGCCUGAUGCAGCAACGCCGCGUGAGGGAUGACGGCCUUCGGGUUGUAAACCUCUUUUAGCAGGGAAGAAGCGAAAGUGACGGUACCUGCAGAAAAAGCACCGGCUAACUACGUG
rnacentral:rRNA from 1 species